rnacentral:rRNA from 1 species
AAUCAACGCUGGCGGCGCGCUUAACACAUGCAAGUCGCACGAGAAAGUGGAGCAAUCCAUGAGCAAAGUGGCGUACGGGUGAGUAACACGUGGAUCAUCUACCUCUUGGUGGGGAAUAACCCUGGGAAACCGGGGCUAAUACCGCAUAAGCCUGCGAAGGGAAAUCAGCAAUGCGCCGAGAGAGGAGUCCGCGGCCGAUUAGCUAGUUGGUAGGGUAAAGGCCUACCAAGGCAAUGAUCGGUAGCCGGCCUGAGAGGGCACACGGCCACACUGGCACUGAAACACGGGCCAGACUCCUACGGGAGGCAGCAGUAGGGAAUCUUGCACAAUGGAGGAAACUCUGAUGCAGCGACGCCGCGUGAGCGAUGAAGCCCUUCGGGGUGUAAAGCUCUUUCGACGGGAACGAUAAUGACGGUACCCGGAGAAGAAGCUGCGGCUAACUACGUGCCAGCAGCCGCGGUAAUACGUAGGCAGCAAGCGUUGUUCGGAAUUA